rnacentral:pre_miRNA from 10 species
GCCGACGAUGUCUUUGUUUGCGCCACGUUUCCUUAUCACUGAUCUGGUCCGGUGUGGCGAUUUAACAACUGGACGGAGAACUGAUAAGGGCAGGUGGUCACCGUUCCUCCAGGAAAAACUC